CAGUAGUCAAGGAGGAGAGAUCAUGAAGAUGUCUAUAGUCGUAGUUGUAGCCCUCAUUGUCAUGGCCUCCGGUAUCGAUUUGUCAAUUGGAUGUGGAUCAUGCACUGACAGCGAAUGCGAAUACCACAGUUUGGGAAACGGUCAUGACUGGUGCACUGGAGCGGGCUGUCAUUUACAAAAAGAAGGGAUACGGUCCUGCUGCAAAAAAUCCAGUGGAUAACAUGCACAAAGCUCCUCAUGAAAGUUCUUCACCAGAAGGGCCAACAGUGUUUCAUGGAACUUCUACGUCACCUCACACGAUAUAAUGGAAAGACAAAACGUUCAGUCAGUUAAAUAUGCAUAUUGCAAAACAAUAAAGAUAUUAAAGACAAAUUAUUACAUCCAA